ensembl:misc_RNA Metazoa_SRP Metazoan signal recognition particle RNA
GCUGGGUGCAGUGGCUUGCGCCUGUAAUCCCGGCACUUUGGGAGGCUGAGGUGGGUGGAUCACUUGAGGUCAGGAGUUCAAGACCAGCCUGGCUAACAGAGUGAAACCCCAUCUCUA